UACAGAGGGUGCGAACGUUGCUCGGAAUUACUGGGCGUAAAGCGCAUGUAGGCGGAUCCAUAAGUCGGGCGUGAAAUCCCCAGGCUCAACCUGGGAACUGCGCUCGAAACUGUGGGUCUUGAGUGUCGGAGAGGAUGGCGGAAUUCCUGGUGUAGAGGUGAAAUUCGUAGAUAUCAGGAGGAACACCGGUGGCGAAGGCGGCCAUCUGGACGACAACUGACGCUGAGGAGCGAAAGCGUGGGGAGCGAACAGG
rnacentral:rRNA from 1 species